AAUCAACGCUGGCGGCAGGCCUAACACAUGCAAGUCGAGCGCCCAGCAAUGGGAGCGGCGGACGGGUGAGUAACACGUGGGAAUAUGCCUUUCGGUUCGGAACAACUCGGGGAAACCCGUGCUAAUUCCGGAUACGCCCUUACCGGGGAAAGGAUUUAUCGCCGAAAGAUUAGCCCGCCGUCCGAUUAGCUAGUUGGUGAGGUAAUGGCUCACCAAGGCACCGAUCGGUAGCUGGUUUGAGAGAACGACCAGCCACACUGGACUGAGACACGGCCCAGACUCCUACGGGAGGCAGCAGUGGGGAAUCUUGCGCAAUGCGCGAAAGCGUGACGCAGCAACGCCGCGUGGAGGAAGACGGUCUUCGGAUUGUAAACUCCUUUC
rnacentral:rRNA from 1 species